UACGGGGGGGAGCAAGCGUUGUUCGGAUUUACUGGGCGUAAAGGGCGCGUAGGCGGUCGUGACAAGUCACUUGUGAAAAUCUCCGGGCUUAACUCGGAACGGUCAAGUGAUACUGUCGGACUAGAGUACAGAAGGGGCAACUGGAAUUCUCGGUGUAGCGGUGAAAAUGCGUAGAUAUCGAGAGGAACACCUGCGGCGAAGGCGGUUUGCUGGGCUGAUACUGACGCUGAGGCGCGAAAGCCAGGGAGCGAACGGG
rnacentral:rRNA from 1 species